AACGAACGCUGGCGACAGGCCUAACACAUGCAAGUCGAGCGAACCUUCGGGUUAGCGGCGGACGGGUGAGUAACGCGUGGGAAUAUGCCCUUUGGUACGGAAUAGCCUCGGGAAACUGAGAGUAAUACCGUAUGUGCCCUUCGGGGGAAAGAUUUAUCGCCAAAGGAUUAGCCCGCGUUGGAUUAGGUAGUUGGUGGGGUAAUGGCCUACCAAGCCUACGAUCCAUAGCUGGUUUGAGAGGAUGAUCAGCCACACUGGGACUGAGACACGGCCCAGACUCCUACGGGAGGCAGCAGUGGGGAAUCUUAGACAAUGGGCGCAAGCCUGAUCUAGCCAUGCCGCGUGAGCGAUGAAGGCCUUAGGGUUGUAAAGCUCUUUCGUGGGGGAAGAUAAUGACGGUACCCCAAGAAGAAGCCCCGGCUAACUCCGUGCCAGCCGCCGCUGUAA
rnacentral:rRNA from 1 species